rnacentral:rRNA from 1 species
AUUGAACGCUGGCGGCAGGCCUAACACAUGCAAGUCGAACGAGUGGCGGACGGGUGAGUAAUGUCUGGGACACCGCCUGAUGGAGGGGGAUCACCACUGGAAACGGUCGCUAAUACCGCAUACCAUCGGAUGUGCCCAGAUGGGAGUAGCUAGUAGGUGGGGUAAAGGCUCACAUAGGCGACGAUCCCUAGCUGGUCUGAGAGGAUGACCAGCCACACUGGGACUGAGACACGGUCCAGACUCCUACGGGAGGCAGCAGUGGGGAAUAUUGCACAAUGGGCGCAAGCCUGAUGCAGCCAUGCCGCGUGUAUGAAGAAGGCCUUCGGGUUGUAAAGUACUUUCAGCGGGGAGGCGUUACCCGCAGAAGAAGCACCGGCUAACUCCGUGCCAGCAGCCGCGGUAAUAC